rnacentral:rRNA from 2 species
GUUAAGUUGCAGGGUAUAGACCCGAAACCCGGUGAUCUAGCCAUGGGCAGGUUGAAGGUUGGGUAACACUAACUGGAGGACCGAACCGACUAAUGUUGAAAAAUUAGCGGAUGACCUGUGGCUGGGGGUGAAAGGCCAAUCAAACCGGGAGAUAGCUGGUUCUCCCCGAAAGCUAUUUAGGUAGCGCCUCGUGAAUUCAUCUCCGGGGGUAGAGCACUGUUUCGGCUAGGGGGCCAUCCCGGCUUACCAACCCGAUGCAAACUGCGAAUACCGGAGAAUGUUAUCACGGGAGACACACGGCGGGUGCUAACGUCCGUCGUGAAGAGGGAAACAACCCAGACCGCCAGCUAAGGUCCCAAAGUCAUGGUUAAGUGGGAAACGAUGUGGGAAGGCCCAGACAGCCAGGAUGUUGGCUUAGAAGCAGCCAUCAUUUAAAGAAAGCGUAAUAGCUCACUGGUCGAGUCGGCCUGCGCGGAAGAUGUAACGGGGCUAAACCAUGCACCGAAGCUGCGGCAGCGACACUGUGUGUUGUUGGGUAGGGGAGCGUUCUGUAAGCCUGUGAAGGUGUGUCGUGAGGCAUGCUGGAGGUAUCAGAAGUGCGAAUGCUGACAUAAGUAACGAUAAAGCGGGUGAAAAGCCCGCUCGCCGGAAGACCAAGGGUUCCUGUCCAACGUUAAUCGGGGCAGGGUGAGUCGACCCCUAAGGCGAGGCCGAAAGGCGUAGUCGAUGGGAAACGGGUUAAUAUUCCCGUACUUGGUGUUACUGCGAAGGGGGGACGGAGAAGGCUAUGUUGGCCGGGCGACGGUUGUCCCGGUUUAAGCGUGUAGGUGUGUGUUCCAGGUAAAUCCGGUUCACUUUAACACUGAGGCGUGACGACGAGGCACUACGGUGCUGAAGCAACAAAUGCCCUGCUUCCAGGAAAAGCCUCUAAGCAUCAGGUAACAUCAAAUCGUACCCCAAACCGACACAGGUGGUCAGGUAGAGAAUACCAAGGCGCUUGAGAGAACUCGGGUGAAGGAACUAGGCAAAAUGGUGCCGUAACUUCGGGAGAAGGCACGCUGACACGUAGGUGAAGUGAUUUACUCAUGGAGCUGAAGUCAGUCGAAGAUACCAGCUGGCUGCAACUGUUUAUUAAAAACACAGCACUGUGCAAACACGAAAGUGGACGUAUACGGUGUGACGCCUGCCCGGUGCCGGAAGGUUAAUUGAUGGGGUCAGCGCAAGCGAAGCUCCUGAUCGAAGCCCCGGUAAACGGCGGCCGUAACUAUAACGGUCCUAAGGUAGCGAAAUUCCUUGUCGGGUAAGUUCCGACCUGCACGAAUGGCGUAAUGAUGGCCAGGCUGUCUCCACCCGAGACUCAGUGAAAUUGAACUCGCUGUGAAGAUGCAGUGUACCCGCGGCAAGACGGAAAGACCCCGUGAACCUUUACUAUAGCUUGACACUGAACAUUGAGCCUUGAUGUGUAGGAUAGGUGGGAGGCUUUGAAGUGUGGACGCCAGUCUGCAUGGAGCCGACCUUGAAAUACCACCCUUUAAUGUUUGAUGUUCUAACGUGGACCCGUUACCCGGGUUGCGGACAGUGUCUGGUGGGUAGUUUGACUGGGGCGGUCUCCUCCUAAAGAGUAACGGAGGAGCACGAAGGUUGGCUAAUCCUGGUCGGACAUCAGGAGGUUAGUGCAAUGGCAUAAGCCAGCUUGACUGCGAGCGUGACGGCGCGAGCAGGUGCGAAAGCAGGUCAUAGUGAUCCGGUGGUUCUGAAUGGAAGGGCCAUCGCUCAACGGAUAAAAGGUACUCCGGGGAUAACAGGCUGAUACCGCCCAAGAGUUCAUAUCGACGGCGGUGUUUGGCACCUCGAUGUCGGCUCAUCACAUCCUGGGGCUGAAGUAGGUCCCAAGGGUAUGGCUGUUCGCCAUUUAAAGUGGUACGCGAGCUGGGUUUAGAACGUCGUGAGACAGUUCGGUCCCUAUCUGCCGUGGGCGCUGGAGAACUGAGGGGGGCUGCUCCUAGUACGAGAGGACCGGAGUGGACGCAUCACUGGUGUUCGGGUUGUCAUGCCAAUGGCACUGCCCGGUAGCUAAAUGCGGAAGAGAUAAGUGCUGAAAGCAUCUAAGCACGAAACUUGCCCCGAGAUGAGUUCUCCCUGAGACUUAGAGUCUCCUGAAGGAACGUUGAAGACGACGACGUUGAUAGGCCGGGUGUGUAAGCGCAGCGAUGCGUUGAGCUAACCGGUACUAAUGAACCGUGAGGCUUAACCUUACAACGCCGAAG